rnacentral:rRNA from 1 species
UACGUAGGGUGCGAGCGUUAAUCGGAAUUACUGGGCGUAAAGCGAGCGCAGGCGGUUUUGUAAGUCAGAUGUGAAAUCCCCGGGCUCAACCUGGGAACUGCGUUUGAAACUACAAGGCUAGAGUAUGGGAGAGGGGGGUAGAAUUCCACGUGUAGCAGUGAAAUGCGUAGAGAUGUGGAGGAAUACCAAUGGCGAAGGCAGCCCCCUGGCCUAAUACUGACGCUCAUGCUCGAAAGCGUGGGGAGCAAACAGG